UACGGAGGAUGCGAGCGUUAUCCGGAUUUAUUGGGUUUAAAGGGAGCGUAGACGGGAUGUUAAGUCAGCUGUGAAAGUUUGGGGCUCAACCUUAAAAUUGCAGUUGAAACUGGCAUUCUUGAGUGCGGUAGAGGCAGGCGGAAUUCGUGGUGUAGCGGUGAAAUGCUUAGAUAUCACGAAGAACUCCAAUUGCGAAGGCAGCUUGCUGGAGCGUAACUGACGUUGAUGCUCGAAAGUGUGGGUAUCAAACAGG
rnacentral:rRNA from 1 species